UACGGAGGGUGCAAACGUUGCUCGGAAUCAUUGGGCGUAAAGCGCGCGUAGGCGGUUACUUAAGUUGGAUGUGAAAGCCCUCGGCUUAACCGAGGAAGUGCAUCCAAAACUGAGUAGCUAGAGUACGAAAGAGGGUCGCGGAAUUCCCGGUGUAGAGGUGAAAUUCGUAGAUAUCGGGAGGAACACCGGUGGCGAAGGCGGCGACCUGGGUCGAGACUGACGCUGAGGCGCGAAAGCGUGGGGAGCAAACGGG
rnacentral:rRNA from 1 species